rnacentral:rRNA from 1 species
CCCUUAGACGUUCUGGGCCGCACGCGCGCUACACUGACACAGGCAACGAGCUUUCCUUUACCGAAAGGUAUGGGUAAUCUUUUGAAACUGUGUCGUGCUGGGGAUAGAUCCUUGCAAUUUUUGAUCUUAAACGAGGAAUUCCUAGUAAGCGCGAGUCAUCAACUCGCGUUGAUUAUGUCCCUGCCCUUUGUACACACCGCCCGUCGCUACUACCGAUUGAAUGGCUUAGUGAGGCCUCAGGAUCCGCGCUUAAUGUGUGGAGAAUUUGGACAAACUACGUCAUUUAGAGGAAGUAAAAGUCGUAACA